rnacentral:rRNA from 1 species
CGUGUGCUUACAAGUAGUCAGAGCCCGUUAAUGGGUGAUGGCGUGCCUUUUGUAGAAUGAACCGGCGAGUUACGAUUUGAUGCAAGGUUAAGCAGUAAAUGUGGAGCCGUAGCGAAAGCGAGUCUGAAUAGGGCGUUUAGUAUUUGGUCGUAGACCCGAAACCAGGUGAUCUACCCUUGGUCAGGUUGAAGUUCAGGUAACACUGAAUGGAGGACCGAACCGACUUACGUUGAAAAGUGAGCGGAUGAACUGAGGGUAGCGGAGAAAUUCCAAUCGAACCUGGAGAUAGCUGGUUCUCUCCGAAAUAGCUUUAGGGCUAGCCUCAAGUGAUGAUUAUUGGAGGUAGAGCACUGUUUGGACGAGGGGCCCCUCUCGGGUUACCGAAUUCAGACAAACUCCGAAUGCCAAUUAAUUUAACUUGGGAGUCAGAACAUGGGUGAUAAGGUCCGUGUUCGAAAGGGAAACAGCCCAGACCACCAGCUAAGGUCCCAAAAUAUAUGUUAAGUGGAAAAGGAUGUGGCGUUGCCCAGACAACUAGGAUGUUGGCUUAGAAGCAGCCAUCAUUUAAAGAGUGCGUAAUAGCUCACUAGUCGAGUGACACUGCGCCGAAAAUGUACCGGGGCUAAACAUAUUACCGAAGCUGUGGAUUGUCCUUUGGACAAUGGUAGGAGAGCGUUCUAAGGGCGUUGAAGCAUGAUCGUAAGGACAUGUGGAGCGCUUAGAAGUGAGAAUGCCGGUGUGAGUAGCGAAAGACGGGUGAGAAUCCCGUCCACCGAUUGACUAAGGUUUCCAGAGGAAGGCUCGUCCGCUCUGGGUUAGUCGGGUCCUAAGCUGAGGCCGACAGGCGUAGGCGAUGGAUAACAGGUUGAUAUUCCUGUACCACCUAUA